rnacentral:snRNA from 1 species
GUGGUCGCUUCGGCAGCACAUAUACUAAAAUUGGAACGAUACAGAGAAGAUUAACAUGGCCCCUGCGCAAAGAUGACAUGCAAAUUUGUGAAGCAUUCCAUAUUUUU